rnacentral:lncRNA from 1 species
CCUCGAGAAGCGUGUCAGAAUGGAAACGGCUUAUAGUACAGACCCUCGGGCUGCGUUUGGUUCGGGUAUAAGUAAGAACUGCUAGUUCUAGGGAUAGGUACAAGUUCAGGUAUAAGCAGGAACUAGACCAAUUUUGCGUUUGGAUGAAAAUUGGGUUGUUCCUAGGAAUAAGGUAAAUAGUGUUUGGAUGAUUAGAUUGGAACAAGAGGAAUAAACGUUAUAAUUUGAAAUUAAAAUUAUAUUAUGUAAUUAAUUAACAUAAAAAUAUUACUUAAAAAUAAAUAAAAAAUUAAUUAUUAAUAAUUAAUUAUAAAUAAUAAUUAAUAAUAAUAAUUAAUUAUAAAUAAUAAAUUAUUAAUAACGAUUAUCUAAUUAAUAAUAAUUAUUAUUAUUAUUAAUUAUUAAUAAAUAAUAAUAAUUAUUAAUUAUUCUUAUUAAUUAAUUAUAAAUAAUAAAUUAUUAAUAAUAUUGAUUAUCUAAUUAUUAAUAAUAAUUAAUAUUAAUAUUAAUUAAUAAAUAAUAAUAAUUAAUAAAUAAUAAUAAUUAUUAUUAAUAAUUAAUUAUAAAUAAUAAAUUAAUAAUAACAUCGAUUAUCUAAUUAUUAAGAAUAAUAAUAAUUAAUUAAUUAUUAAUAAAUAAUAAUAUUAAUUUAUUAAUUAUUAAUUAUAAAUAAUAUAUUAAUAAUAAUAUCGAUUAUCAUUAAGAAUAAUAAUUAAUAAUAAUUAUUAAUAAAAAAUUAAUAAAUAUUAUUAAUUAUUAAUAAUUAAUUAUAAAUAAUAAAUUAAUAAUAAUUAUUAUCUAAUUAUUAAUAAUUAAUUAUAAAUAAUAAAUUAUUUAAUUAUUUAAUUAUUAAAAUAAUAAAUAAUAAUUUAAAUAUAUUAAUUAGAUUAAUUAAUAAUUUACUGUCAUUAAAAUUAAAUUUAGAUUUUAAUUAAUCUUGUUCUCAUUAAGGAACAAGCUUGUUCCAGGAAACCGGUGGAACAGCAAUUCCAGCCUUAUUCCAGCUAGUUCCAGAUUCCCGGGAACUACGGUUCCCGGGAGCCAAACAUAGCGUUUGGGAACAAAGGGGGGAACA